rnacentral:rRNA from 1 species
AUUGAACGCUGGCGGCAUGCCUUACACACGCAAGUCGAACGGCAGCACGGGGCAACCUGGUGGCGAGUGGCGAACGGGUGAGUAAUGCAUCGGAACGUGCCAUUGAGUGGGGGAUAACGUAGCGAAAGUUGCGCUAAUACCGCAUAUUCUGUGAGCAGGAAAGCAGGGGACCGCAAAGGCCUUGCGCUCUUUGAGCGGCCGAUGUCAGAUUAGCUAGUUGGUGAGGUAACGGCUUACCAAGGCGACGAUCUGUAGCGGGUCUGAGAGGAUGAUCCGCCACACUGGAACUGAGACACGGUCCAGACUCCUACGGGAGGCAGCAGUGGGGAAUUUUGGACAAUGGGCGCAAGCCUGAUCCAGCCAUGCCGCGUGAGUGAAGAAGGCCU